rnacentral:lncRNA from 1 species
GGCCACCCCUGCAGCCCACUGCUACGAAACCAAGUAAACCCAAUACAGAUGUUGGGGUCAGAGAGAGAAUUAUGGUCACCCAAUCCUUCUUUCUAACACAGCAGCAAGGUGAAUAAGGUCUAAAAGUGUGAGGUUAAAUUUUGAUCUGGAUUUUCAUUGAGAGGGGUGUGUCUGGGUCACACAGAUGUGAAGAGCUACCUGAGCACAUUGUCAGGAGAGUCAAAUGUGCUUUUUUGUCUUUUGAUGACUAUGUAAAUAAAUAUGCUUCAAUCUAUUACCUAGUAAGCAAUGCAGGCUUGUCAAAAUAUUUAGUAUAAUCUUUGGAAAUCUAACCUGUCAUUAAAAAAUAGAUCAUUAUUUUGUCAUUUAACUUUUUUUUGGAUAUAUCUUUUAGCAUGGCAUCCAGCAUGUUCCUCCAUAAACUGUUCCAAUAAUUAUCUUUUUUGAAAAAUGUUUCAUUUUUUUGUUGUUGUUGUAUAUUUUAUCUUGUUUUGAUCACUCACUCUACAUUUAUAUUAGAUUUUUAGCUAUGGCUACACAUUUUUUGCCACAUUCUCUCAUACCAAGGACAGAUUCUGAAAAGCUUUGUUCAGAGUUCCUAUGAUUGUUAUAAUGGGAAGCAUAAUCAAAUAAGACCUGUUUUCUGCCUGCUGUCAGAAACCUCACAAGUAUGGAUCUGCUUAUUCUACUAAAAUAAUAUCCAGAACUAAUCAAACAAUAUUUUCCAGAUGUGUUCUCAGUAUAUGCUGUGACCUCAGCUAUUUUAUUAUUUUAUUUUCUUUUAUUUGGCUAUACAAAAUGAAUCAAGAAUGUGAGACCACCUAGUCCAGAAAAAUCUAAGGAACCAUUGCAGUAUAACAAAUUGACCUCAAAACCUUGAGGCUGAAGUUAAAAUUCUAAGACAAUAAUCUUUACAAUCACUCCCUCAGUUCAUGUAUUUGUUUAUAUUCUAUAUUUAGUGCUGGUAAAGAUCACUAGGAAAAAAAAGUAAAAUUUUGAGGGAAAAAAAGUGUGAUAAUACUUCUUUUUCAACACAGAGUUGAAACAGUUAACAUUCCUUGACAUUUUGUAUCCACAUAAUUAUCCAGUACUAAUAUGAAAAUUUCAGGGUUAUCUUGGCCAUA